UGAAGAAUGCAUUCUAAUAUUAAUCUUUACGAGUGGCAAAUCAAAAUAUAUCAACAAGAAAAGAGAUACUGAAGGAUGAUGAGGUUGCUACCACAGAAUUACCAGAGAGACAAAAACUCCAACGUAAUCAAGAAACCAAACAACAAAAUGUCUAGAAAUUAAGCAUCACUUGCGAAAGAAAAAGGCAUACAUAUAUUGAGGGUAAGAGCACCCACAAGACUAGUGAUACAUAGCCUACUCCAUGACCACAAAAAGAAUCUUCAUGCAUUCUUGUCUUCAAAUAUUCUGCGAUUUCUUUCUUUCCUGAUCCCCCACAUCAUUAAGAAAGGGAACAUCUUUCAAAUCAACACCAGCGGCGAGAAUAAAAAGGACUGCUCAUGCAUCCCACCAAUAACUUAUGAAUUGACUGAUUAGAGGCCCAAGCAGAGGUUGAGAAGUGUGAAAAUAGUUCCUCACAAUCUAGUAGCUGUGCAAUGGAUAAAUAGGUGAGUCAUCGAUUCAUUCUCCUACAUAUGGAUAAAUAGGUGAGUCAUCGAAUCAUAUAUAUAUAUUUUUUUUUUGGUGGAGAAUUUUGAGUCAUCGAAUCAUUCUCCUACAUACUCAUAAAGCACACAUUUGGAAUGACAGCAUUCCUUUUCUUAAGAAUCAAGAUUAUUCACUGUGAGGAAGCGAUUGAAUUCCACAUAAAAGCUUGGACCCUAGUAGGAAGAAAGGAUUUCCAUACCAAUGCAAGCAAGGAGUGUCCCUUUAUCAAUCGCAUAUGGUCUGAUUUUCUCUCUCGUUUCGGAUUCAGCUGGUGCUUCCCAGAUUCAGCGGAUCUCCUUCUAAAAUCAUGGCAUGGGGUCAGCUUAGGCAAGCAGAGAACAAAGAUUGGAGAAUGGCUUUAAUCGCAAUCUGGUGGUGUGUCUGGGAAGAAAGAAAUGAGAGAUGUUUUCCGGAUUUGGAUCAUUCCGCUGAGUAUGUAUCUUGUAAGGCCAAGCGCACUUUGAUAGAAUGGGCUACUCAUGUUGUCUGCCUAAAGGGCAGCGGUUUUCUUUUUCUUGGAGUUUAGUUGGGCAUGCUUUCUCAGCGUCCCCUCUUCUCCCUUUUGUAUUUUGUUCCCUUUUUAAUAUAAUUCAGUGAUCUUUCAAAAAAAAAGGAGUGUGGGCCUCCCUUUUGGAUUAUAAGGCACCAAAAAUUGAUUUAGAAGUGAAAUUGCCAUUCUACAUCCACUUCUAGAUUUUCCUAUUGUCAACUGCUGGAUCAAUAUGACAUUUUAAAAAAGACGGAAAAAAAGAAAAGAAAAGAAAAGAAAAA